UUUGAAAUGGUGAUUUUAUAA
rnacentral:piRNA from 1 species